rnacentral:lncRNA from 1 species
CAGCACGUAACCAUCAGAUGGCAGCUUUCGUUACUCCUGGAAAGUGAUUGCUGCCGAUAUGCUUGCUCAGAGUUACAUCAAGUAUCCUGUGUCUGUAAAAAGGAAGAGGAAUUUUUUUCUCUGUUAUGGGUCUGCUAAGAAUCAGCGCCUGAGGCAAAGACUAAAAUGCUAAGGCUGCGUUUGGGAGAUGCAAGUCUGGGUGAAGGACACAUCUGCCAAGGCUCUGGAUGCCAAGCCCUCCAGACCCCUGAGAAGAAGCAGGGCUCCCUGGAUCGACUUUCAGACAGUGUGCGGUGCUUCAGGCUCCGUGAUCGGGAACUACGAGGUGUGGGACCCCGUCACCAAUAAAUACGUCUGUAACUUUGGACAUCACUCUACCUCUCAGAGACUCCAUUUCCAAACUGGUAAAAUGGAAACAAUAAAGCCAGGUUUCCCACCUCUGUCAGUGCAAAGAUCAACUGAAUCAUGUUAGAUCCCUG